rnacentral:rRNA from 1 species
UGGGGAAUAUUGCACAAUGGGCGCAAGCCUGAUUCAGCAACGCCGCGUGAACGAUGAAGGUCUUCGGAUCGUAAAGUUCUGUUGCAGGGGAAGAUAAUGACGGUACCCUGUGAGGAAGCCCCGGCUAACUACGUGCCAGCAGCCGCGGUAAUACGUAGGGGGCUAGCGUUGUUCGGAUUUACUGGGCGUAAAGCGCACGUAGGCGGACUUUUAAGUCAGGGGUGAAAUCCCGGGGCUCAACCCCGGAACUGCCUUUGAUACUGGAAGUCUUGAGUAUGGUAGAGGUGAGUGGAAUUCCGAGUGUAGAGGUGAAAUUCGUAGAUAUUCGGAGGAACACCAGUGGCGAAGGCGGCUCACUGGACCAUUACUGACGCUGAGGUGCGAAAGCGUGGGGAGCAAACAGG